rnacentral:rRNA from 1 species
UACGAAGGGUGCAAGCGUUACUCGGAAUUACUGGGCGUAAAGGGUGCGUAGGUGGUCGUUUAAGUCCGUUGUGAAAUCCCCGGGCUUAACCUGGGAAUGGCAUUUGGGACUGCAAGGCUGGAGUGCGGCAGAGGAGACUGGAAUUCCUGGUGUAGCAGUGAAAUGCGUAGAUAUCAGGAGGAAUACCGAUGGCGAAGGCAGGUCUCUGGGCUGACACUGACGCUCAUGCACGAAAGCGUGGGGAGCAAACAGG